UACAGAGGGUGCGAGCGUUAAUCGGAAUUACUGGGCGUAAAGCGUGCGUAGACGGUUACGUAAGUCGGAUGUGAAAUCCCCGAGCUCAACUUGGGAAUUGCAGUGGAUACUGGCAGGCUGGAGUAUGGUAGAGGAAGGUGGAAUUCCCGGUGUAGCAGUGAAAUGCGUAGAGAUCGGGAGGAACACCAGUGGCGAAGGCGGCCUUCUGGACCAAUACUGACGCUCAUGCACGAAAGCGUGGGGAGCAAACAGG
rnacentral:rRNA from 1 species